AGAACGAACGCUGGCGGCGUGGAUAAGACAUGCAAGUCGAACGCGAUUUAUCAGGUUAGCAAUAACUUGGUGAAUUGAGUGGCGAAAGGGUGCGUAACACGUGGGAAUUUACCAAGAAGUGGGGAAUAGCUCGACGAAAGUCGAAUUAAUACCGCAUACGAUCGCAAGAUCAAAGCCGGGGACCGCAAGGCCUGGCGCUUUUUGAGAAGCCCGCGGCCCAUCAGCUAGUUGGCGGGGUAAAGGCCCACCAAGGCUAUGACGGGUAGCUGGUCUGAGAGGACGACCAGCCACACUGGAACUGAGACACGGUCCAGACACCUACGGGUGGCAGCAGUCGAGAAUUUUUUCACAAUGGACGAAAGUCUGAUGGAGCGACGCCGCGUGGAGGAUGAAGGUUUUCGGAUUGUAAACUCCUGUCACUGCAGAACAAGGAUAUGCUCGUUAACAGCGAAUGUAUUGAUGGUAUGCGGAGAGGAAGGGACGGCUAACGUC
rnacentral:rRNA from 1 species